rnacentral:misc_RNA from 1 species
CACACACACACACACACACAGAGACACACAGAGAAAGAGAGGGAGAGAGAGAGAGAGAGGGAGAGAGCCCUUGCUUCUUGGAUUUGUAAGAGAAGAAGAAGAGAGAUGGGAAGAGGAAGAAGAAGCAGAAGAGGUCUGUCAAAAUGAGAGUUUACAUGUAAUCUGUGGCCAGAAUGGAACAAGAAAGAGUCCUUUCCUAUUUUCAUCAUUGCUUGAACAAGAUUUGUUCUGGGAAGAGGGGGAACUUCUCGCACUCUUCUCCAAAGAAGAAGAAGAACAAUCCCAAUUCAAUGUCUACAAUGUGGAAACAGAUAAUGGUCUCUCUAUUGCUCGUCAAGAGGCUGUGGAGUGGAUGCUUAAGGUCAAUGCCCAUUAUGGGUUUUUGGCUCUUACUGCAAUCUUGGCUGUCAACUAUCUUGACAGAUUCAUCUCCAGCUCUUAUUAUCAAAGAGACAAGCCAUGGAUGAUCCAACUUGUGGCUGUGACUUGUCUUUCUUUGGCUGCAAAAGUAGAAGAGACCCAAGUGCCUCUUCUCCUAGACCUCCAAGUUGAGGACACAAAGUAUGUGUUUGAGGCGAAAACCAUUCAAAGAAUGGAGCUUUUGUUGCUUUCUACGCUGAAAUGGAAGAUGCAUCCAGUGACUCCACUCUCAUUUCUUGAUCACAUCGUUAGAAGGCUUGGAUUAAAGACCCAUCUUCAUUGGGAGUUCCUUAGGAGAUGUGAACGUCUUCUACUUACUGUAGUCUCAGAUUCAAGAUCCAUCAGCUAUCUUCCUUCUCUAUUGGCUACUGCUACAAUGAUGCACGUUAUAGACCAAGUUGAGCCCUUAAAUCGGAUGGACUAUCAAAACCAGCUCCUGUCUGUUCUUAAAGUCAGCAAGGUUUUUAUACAUUAUUCUUGAAUUAAUCUUGAUUGAUUAUUUAUUACUAUAGCAUUUGAAUUUUGAACACAGCCACCAAGAAUGUAAAUCUCACAUGAUGCACUCAUUAUUGCGAAACUUCAAAUAAGAGCUUAUCUGAUACUGCAGUCAUUUGUAACAGGAAAAGGUAAAUGAUUGUUAUGAACUCGUUCUCGAGCUAUCAAAGGCCAAAACCAAUGCUUCUGCUGUUGUCUACAACAAGUCUCAGAAGCGAAAGUACAAGCCAAUCCCUAGCAGUCCAAGUGGUGUGAUUGAUGCUACUGUUUUUAGCUGUGACAGCUCAAACGAUUCUUGGGCUCUGGGUUCUUCAGUCUCUUCAUCACCAGAACCACUUUUUAAGAAGAGCAGAGCCCAAGACCAAUGGGUUUUUGCGGACAUCGUUGGCAGCCCUCGUUAAUCUAAUAAAAGAAAAAUCUAUAUUUACUGUGUUUAUUUAUGUCUCUCUGUUCAAUUAAAUUGCCUCCUCCCUCCACCUCUGCAAUUCCAAGAUUGCCCUUUAUAGAAUCCUGCCAUGGAGAUGGGUGUCAUUUUUGAGAGAAGAGGAAGGAUGAGAUGAUGGCUGAUGAGAGGGUGGUGCAUCAAUCUCCCUCUUAUUUUAUGUCUUUGGCACUGUACAAGACUCGUUUUAGAGAAUACUUUUAUAUGGACAUAUUAAUAUCAUAUUGAUAAAAUAAAUUCAAAGCAUUUUUGUUCAUUUGUAAAUAUCAU